rnacentral:rRNA from 1 species
GAUGAACGCUGGCGGCGUGCCUAAUACAUGCCAGUCGAGCGAACAGACGAGGAGCUUGCUCCUCUGACGUUAGCGGCGGACGGGUGAGUAACACGUGGAUAACCUACCUAUAAGACUGGGAUAACUUCGGGAAACCGGAGCUAAUACCGGAUAAAAUGUUGAACCGCAUGGUUCAACAGUGAAAGACGUUCUUGCUGUCACUUAUAGAUGGAUCCGCGCCGCAUUAGCUAGUUGGUAAGGUAACGGCUUACCAAGGCAACGAUGCGUAGCCGACCUGAGAGGGUGAUCGGCCACACUGGAACUGAGACACGGUCCAGACUCCUACGGGAGGCAGCAGUAGGGAAUCUUCCGCAAUGGGCGAAAGCCUGACGGAGCAACGCCGCGUGAGUGAAGAAGGUCUUCGGAUCGUAAAACUCUGUUAUUAGGGAAGAACAAAUGUGUAAGUAACUAUGCACGUCUUGACGGUACCUAAUCAGAAAGCCACGGCUAACUACGUG